rnacentral:lncRNA from 1 species
CGACCUAACCUAAUAAAUAAGAAAUGAGAUGAGCAGUUUUUAGGAGUUUUAAAACUACUUAGAAAUUGUCACAAUUAAAAAAAUAAUAAAAAAAUCUCUCACUCAUUCUCUUUGAGAAAAUUUUGAAAGAACACGCUUCUAAAAAGUCAUCUUUCUUGAAGUUUUCUAAUUUUCUUUGUGAAAAUGAAAGUCAAGAUACUUGUGUUGUGAAAAUAGAGUGAUUCUCGUAUUUCUAGUUCCAUUCAUGACCUGGGGCGAGAAACUUGAUCAAUGAAACAACCAAUCGAGAUUCUUAGGCAUCUUAGAACGUAACUUAAAAGCCUUAUUUUCCAUUAAAAUCUAUUUGGUUGACAAUGACCUUUUUAUAAGAUAUUUGUAAUAUGAUCAAUGAAAAGGUACAUAGGCCACAUUUGAGAGGUAUCCAUUAGGACCAUUAGGACUAUAUUGGAAGUAGUUUACCAUAUUUUGCAAGUAAUUUUUUAUGUUUGUUAACUUAAUUUGAUUCCUAGUAUUAAAAAAUAAAUCAUAUUUGAAAAUGACUUGGUCAUGAUUAAGAGAUAAUUUAGUCAAAUUAUUUUCCAAUAUAACAAAUAUGAAACAAGCAAGAUUUGAUUGUAUUUGAUUUCAUAACAAAAUAUAAAUGUAACAAUGUGAAAAAAACAAACUUUAAUUUUGGUUUGAUAUAUUAAUUCGAAAUGGAAGUAACCCAAACAAAUAUAGAUAUUAUACCUUCAUAAAGUAGAUGCUAUUCUCCUUUUAUAUAUUUAUUUAUUAUUAUUUGUUUCUUUUUAAAUGUUUUCUCAUAAAUUUUAAAAUUCAAAAUUUUCCAAUUUGGUUCCUAGAAAAAAUGGGUUUCUUUUUUUAUUUUUUUAUUUAAAAUUUUUUUGUACAUUUUUAUUUCCUUUUAAAGAAUGCAUAAAGACAGAAAAUAGUUGUUGCAUUACUAUUUUAUCAUCUUGGGAGAUGAUAGAUAGUAAUUUGAUGUCAAAUUCUUGUAUUUAAUACAUAUUCAUCACUUUCUAUUAUUUUUAAUCACUAUUUAGCUAUAAAAAAAACAAUGAAAAUUAAGGCAUGUAUUGCAAAGCCAAUAGAUUUUGGGGCUUUUUGGUGCAUUAAAUCAAUCGGGCCAAUUCUCAAGCCUUGAAAGAAAAAUAAUGUCUAGUCUUUAUAUAAUGAAACUACUGAAUAGAUGAUCUCUAAAAUUUAUCCCCAAAUUAAUACUUUAUUAUCAAUUUUCAUUUUAUUACUUUAGAUUAAUUAUUUAUUGAGAGUAAUCAAUCCCAUGCCAAUAUAAAUAAAAGUAAUCACAUAUAUACAUAGGGAUAUAAUGUGGAAAAACUACCUAGCAACCUAAGAUUUAAAAAACCAUGGGUGGUCUCUUGACCUCUAAAUAAUCCACUAAUUAUGAUAAAAUGAUAUAUAGUUUUACUUGAUUAAAUGCACCUACUCCUUAGAGUCUUAUAUCGUCAACACCUAUACUCAUUUUCUAUAUUCUUGAUACAACACUCUCCUAUGCUCCUUAGUGGAUCCCUUGAAGUUUCACAAUGAGAUAUUUGACCUUUGUUGAAGCCAAAAGUUACUCUUAAGAAGGAUCUUAAAAUUUUGAUCCUUUAACUCCCAAACUUUUAAGACCCUUAGGGUUCAUAAAAAUGCAUACUUAUUUCAACAAAAUAUCUCUAUUUAUAUUUAUAAAACUCUUUUUUAGAAUUAUACAAAGUUUUCUAAUUUUAAAACAUUCCAAAAAUAAUUUUUAGAAUCAAAUAACAAUUUAGAGAUAAAUACAAUUUUUAAACUUACAAAAAAUAAUUUUUGGAAUUAAAAACAUAGCAAAAACCAAAUUAGGAAAUAGAAAGUAUUCUUUUCCUAAUUUCUUAUAUUAGCAAUUCCUUAAGCUUUAUCAACCAUAAAUACAUACUUAUGAUAAAUUUUAAGGCUAUGAAUAACCCAAAUCUAAAUAUGAUGAAAUAUGAAGUUGUCUUGAGACGGAUAAAACCCAAGAAAGUAAGUUGCACCUAAUUAGUAAGAAAUGAACAAAAUUAUCAACUAAAUAAAAUACACUAUCAAUUCCAAUAUAAGGUUUGUGCUUUUAGCCCAUCAUAAUGAAACCUAAAUCAAUCGAAUUGUAGGUAGAAAUCAAGUAAAAAAAGAUUAGUAGAUCCAAAAAAUCAACUUUCAUGGGUUUCACCUGCAUUCUUAUUUGAGCUAUAACCUCUUCGUCUCUCCUCGCUAAUGUUUUUCAAAUCGAAUCCAUUAUUGAACCAACUACUAUUUUCCAAAUUGGAUCAACAAUUGAACCAUGAACAAAUUUUAAUACCAUAAAUAUAUGAUUUAUGUUUUAUUAAAAUAUUUAUUAAUUUAAAAAUUAGAAUAUAUAUAAAUAAUUAAACAUUUACUACCUCCAUCCUAUAUUUAUUUCCCUAAUCCCAUUACAAUAUUAAAGUAAAAAAUUUACCUCAUCUCCCAACUAAUCAUGAAUGUUGUCCUCAAAUUUUUCAUGUAAUAUAUAAAAUGAAAGUAGAAGACAAUUUAACAAUGUAGAAAAAAAAAAUUAGGGAGGUGGAAAUAUAUUGCUUCUCAUAGCAUUGAUGAAAAUGGAAAGAUGACUUGGAAGGUCAAUUAAAAGCAGCAAAAGAAACAAACUAAAACUAAACAAACAUAAAAUAAAGAUAGAUAGAUUUAUUUAUUUAUUUAUUUUACCAUUUUAUUUAUGAACUUGGGGUGAUCACAAAAAUAGGUUCAAAAGAGGUGUGGAAGCCUCAUUUCUUUCAAAAUAUGAGGUUGGUUGUCCCACAACUCCGCUACAUCAAGAGCUUUGCCUCCUCAUGCCAAUGGGUGACUCAAUUUUUUCCUCAACCUUUCUCUAAACUUAAAAAAAAAUGGCUUUGGUUGAGGAUCUGCCCAAGGGUUUACCUUUGGCAUUGGGAUUAGUUUUUGAAAAAAAAAAAAAUCAUUAUCAAGAAAAUAGAAAACCCUAAAGUUGUACAUGUCAAUUAAAGCUUGUUCAUUUCAUGAAUGCAUGUAAUAUAAUGAAAUGUGGUUAGUUAAAUUUUUUUAUUUCAUAGAGCCCUACCCUAUGUCCUCUAACAUGGUAGUAUCUUUCCUAAUGUCGUGCUCUUAUUCUAGCUCACAGAUGUAAGACAUAAUAGGAUUAUAUCCUCUAAUUGUUUAUUAUUCUCUAAUACUAGGGUAAUAUCUACCAUUGCCUGCAUAAUUGUCCUUACUGCAGAUGCUAAAGUCAGGUAUAUCUCUUUCCCAUUUAGCCUUGUCCUAAGUUGAAACUCUUGUAAAGAAUUACAAAUAUGUUUAGUGGCCUUGAAAUCUAUCCACCAUGAAUUAGUGGAAUCCACCACUAUACAUGAAUUAACUAUAAGUGAAUGGAAAACACACAUUUCUUUUUCUUCAAGUAGUAAGAACAUUCCUUCAUCUAGUGGUCUUUUUUGCCAUAGAUAAAACACUUAUCUUUUCCCUUGCUUCGUCCUUUCCUAGCCUUGGUUUUUCUCUGUUUUGAUUUAUUGAAAGUAUUCCUCUUCUUCUUAUUAUGAUAAGAACCUAAAGAAUCUUGCACUUCCAUAUUAACACCUUUAGAAUCCUUGAGAAUACCUUCAACCAUCUGGAGUUCCUUCAUCAGUUUUGGCAAGCUUAUCAUUAACUUAUUUGUAGUGUAAUUGAGCUUGAACUACUUGAAGGAGUUUGGUAAGGUCUUUAGGAUCAUAUUGACUUGGGUUUCCUUAUCGAUUUCAGCUCAAGAAUCCCCAUCUCAUUAAAGAGUGUAAUUAUACAAAUUAUAUGAUCUCUAAUGGGAGUUUCUUUUAUUGUCCUAAUGUUCAUGAUGGUCCUUAGGGUUGUUUGCCUAGCUAGCUUGCCCUUAUCACCAAACAUCUCCCACAGGCUUGAGAUAAUCUUAUAGGUAAUGGCAAUGUCCAUGUGUUGCUAUUGAAGUACAUUAUUAAGACCCAAGUAUAAUACAAUGAGCCUUCUUAUCUGCCCUUUGUCAUUGGGAAUGAGCAUCUUUCUCUUCUUACAUGGAAAACUCAUUGGGAAUUGGUGGAGUAAGCUCUUGAGGUACCAUUUCAAUUGUUUUGUUGUGAAAACUAUGUCCAGAUUUCUUUUCCAACUAACAUAAAUAGGUCUAGUUAAUUUAUUAUUAGUGAGAAUUAGGGUGAUAGGGUUAUAAGACACGAUUCUUGUAAUAAACAACACAUUUCAUGCAUUAAUAAAGAAAACUAAGCAUUCAAGGCAUAAAUGGUAAUUAAUUUAGCAAAAUUUAGUGCUCUCAAAAUACAUAUAUCCAUCCAAGGUAUCCCUAGUAUCAUAAGAAUCAAGCCUACUUUAGAUAGGUCAUGACUCUUAUUACUAAGGUAGAAGUCCUCUCUAAUUAAUCAACUUGUCUUAAACCUCAAAGGGUUUUCCUAAGGCAUUGAUUAACAUAUAUACCUUUGUGUUCAACCCUUAGCAUAUGCAAGUAGGACCACUUUAGAUGAUUCUACUACUUCAAGUCUAAGUUAAGUGUAUAACUAAGAUUCUUAACACCAAUGUUAUCAAGUGAAUAAGUCCAUCUUUAUGAUUGGCUACUCUCACUAUAAACAUAUAUAAUCUUAUCCUUUUAAGAUAGUCCACACCCCUUGAUUCUUUGGGUUACCUCAUUUUUUGGAUGAUGAUGCCUAAAAUCAAGAUGGACUCGAUUUAAAGGCUGUGAGCUUGCCUAUGACCUACUCCUACUUAAUAUUUUGAAAAAGAGACUUUGAGAUAAUUUUAGUAAUCUUCUUAAAAUAUAUGCUAGAAAAGCCUAGGCCGCUUGAUGCAACUUUUAGUGCUUAAAAGCAUUUUGCUUGAAUGCUUGAGAUGCUUGAGCAUUAAUCUAGCUAUUGAGUGCUCCUAAAAAUUUCAGGAAUUCGAGGUUGGUUUUCUCGAUCUUCGAUGACUAUUUUCUCCAAAAAUCACAUCUUUUUGGUUAAGGACUAUGCAAGAGCAUCUCGUGAUCACUUGGAUUUUCAAAUGCUUCAAGUGCAACAAAGAAUGGAAGACAAAAACGAAACUUUACAUCCAAAAGUAAAAUCCUAUGCUUCUUUUAAAUCAAAGCUUAUAUCCCAUUCUAUGAACAAAAAAUUGGAUUUUUUAUAAACAAGAAAAAUCCUAUACCUCUUUUAAUGAAGCUUACAACCCAUCUAGAGCAAAAAUAAAAACAUAACUAACUAUAAUAUAUAAUCAUCACCAAUAGAUAACAAUAUGUCAGGCACAUAAUUUAUCCAUCGGGCUAUGGGAUAAAUAAAAUACCCUACAAAACAUUGGUUAACACACCUUAGAAAGGUUCUAUCAAGAUUUUUGCUAACCUAUGGCUUUGAUACUAAUUGUAGGGAAUCCCAGAUCUCUUUGCUCUCUAUACCUGGAUUAGGUUAGGCACAUGCAAAUCUUCCUAAGGUUUCUCUAAAUCCCAUGCACAAUAGAAACAACAUAUUUGUAAACAAAUAUUUAAAUCAAGUGCUAUAGAAUACAAUACCUUAGAUUUGGACAAUCCCAUAUCUAUUUUUUCGAUGUUGAUGAAGAUUGUAUCCUUUAGAAGUCUCAUAUACCCAAGACUUCCACUUGAUGGCUUUACUUUGAUCUUAACACACCAAAUGUGGGUGUUUGGAAGGGAGGGGGCUAUUGCUCUCUCUUGUCUCUUUGGAUGGUGGAAGAUGAUUAUCUUAAAAACCUUAACCCUUAAAGAGGUAACUUAAGCAACUUGAGCCUACCAAUGCCUUGGGUUACUUAAUCUAAGCUUAAACUAGGUUCUAUUUGAUUACUCAACCCAAUAAGGCUAUCUAAUAAAUCAAUUAACCCAAUCCACAACUUUGUUCAUUUACCCUUAUGCAACCUUGCGUAAUCACCAAAACACUCUUAUGCACAAAAGUGAAUUAAGAGCUAAUCUAACCAUCAUAAACCUACCAUCCAGGUAUAUAAGCUCAAGUAAGAACCACUAGAAUCCAUAAGAUAAUACUAGCUCCCUCAAAAUUCAAUUCUGAAGUUGAUUCAACAUUUUACUAAAGGGAAUCAAUUACACUCUAGUACUCUAUGUAAAUAACAAUGAGACAUUAAGUGCUUAGAUCCGUGACUUGCUAUCCAUUGUGUAUAGUCUCCUCAUGAUCUGGUGUUUGUAGUUUAAUAAAGUGAAAACUACUAACCUUUCAAAACUACCUUUAUUAUCCUUAAGUGACUAGUCCUCUUAUUGUGUGUACAACUGACAUAUCUUAGUUCUCCAAGGGCUUAUGUCAAGUUCCACUUAAGGAACUACUAUGAUCAUAUUUUAUAUGAACAUACCUCCUUAGGAUCACCCAAAGGGACACCAUGUCAAUACUAUGAGAUAUCAUAGUGCAUUUAUUAAGAAUAACUAUUAUUAUCGGCUUCCAUCAACAGUGACCCAAUCAUUAAGGAAUAUAUGAUCAACUUCCGAUCUCACUCAUAGGUCAAGUCACUAUUAACUUUUAUACAAGCUCAGUUUUCUCUUAAGGUUGAGAGACAACAUAAUGAAGUAGUUUAGUGAAGUCAUGACAACUUGAUACCCUUAUAUCAUGACUCAUUGUAGGUCAUGUCUAAUGUAUAACCAUACACAUUAAUGCACUCAUAAUUGGAAACCCAUCUCAAUAGCCAAGACUAACAAUCCCUUUAAUUAGGAAAUAGUGCAUUAUAACCUCUAAUGGGUUGUUUAGGCCCAACUGGUUAUGAACAAGUUAUCUACUUGCAAGGAACCCACGACUUGGAUCUUCUAUGCAAUUCCUAAUAUGCCCAAGUCAGGUAUAAUGCAAAAGAUGCAAGCUACAAUGCUUACAAUAUAUAAUGAAUGGAAUGGUGAUAUAUAAAAGUGAACUAGAACUUUAUUAAUAAGUAAUAUAAUCCAAAAGUUUAUUACAUCAUAUCAUAUAUAUUUUUAAGAGCUUUAUCCUAACAUAUUGUGCUAAUGUUGAAUCAUCAGUUGCAUUGACUUAUGAGUAAGAUCCUAAGGUAGUCAUACAUUUCUUAUGGAUUGACUGAUGGUUUAGACAGGUAACAAUAGAUAUUCUUAAUAGAGGCACCAUGAUAUUUCAUAGGUUUUUGAUAUUAUAUCCCAUUGGGUGAUCCUAAGGACCAUGGUAAUUCAUUUAAUGGAAUUUGACAUAUGUCCUUUACAAACAAGAUUAUGUUUGGUGAUCAUGACAUAAGAAGAUUUGAGACCCAAGGAUUGAGAGUUUUGUAUCUCGAUCUAAUAUAUAUCAUAAGAUAUUAGAGUGUAGUUGACUCUCUUUAAUAGAAUGUUGAGUCAGCUUUAAAAUUUGAUCAUGAGGGAGUUAGUAUUUUCCUAUGGGUCCUAGUGGUCUUUGCUUGAACUCACACUUUUUGGUGGCAUUUAUUUUGAGAGUUUUUUUAGUACUUACUUAUAAGUGUGCAUGAGGGUGCCUUUGUAUAAGCACAAGGAUAUAUAGGGGCUUAUAAUUAAGUGGCUUAUGGUUGGUCUACUUAAUUAAUUAGAGCCCUUUGAGCUAAUUAAUUUAAUAGGACCAAUUGAGUUAGAUUAAGUGACUUAAGCUCAUAGGAUGGAUUCUAGUCACUUAAGCUUAGUUGAGAAGCUAUAUUAAACCUUCUUAAGGUUUAAGGUUAGACUUACUGUUAUCUUUUACUUUAUUUGAAGAGAAGUCUUAGCCACCACUCCCUCUGAAGAGAAACCCACACUUUUACAUUGCCAAGAUAUUAGAGUAUUGAGUCAUUACAUGAAAGAUCACACGACAUUCAAGAUUUAUUCUAUGAAUUGAAAAAAAGAUUUGGAAACAUCUAGAUUUAAAUCGAUGUUUUCUAAGAUCACCUUAGAGUAGUUUUUUGAAAAAUUAGGUAUUUUCCAUUUCUCCUAAGAUCUUAGUUGAUACACCCUUUAAUCUAGAUCUAUAAGUUGUUUUCCCAAUAAAUUUUCCGUUUUAAGGCAAAAUUCAACCUUCAUAGAGGAUUAAGUAAUGUAGGUUUGCCUAGAAGACUUCUAAGAAAUUGUUCCUUCUUUGAGGGUAAAGACAAAUAUAACCACUAGUGGUUUUCAUCUCAUUUUAAUUAGAGAUCCAAUUAACAUCACUAUACCUUUCAACUACAUUAGGAAAUCAACUAUAGCACAAACCAUAGUUAGUGGAGCCUUUGAGGUACUUAGGUACCAGAUGAAUAACAUUCCAAUGGUCAUUUUUAGGACUUUAGGUGUACUAACUCAAUCUACUUAUUAUAUAAGUAAUAUUAGGCCUAGUACAAUUAAUUAAAUACAUUAGGCCACAAAUGAUCUGAGCAUACUCUAAUUGAGAAACAUUAUGUUCUCUAUUUUUCUUUGUCUUUAAGUUGGGAUUAUAAAUACUUAACACUGACUUACUAUCAUAGUAUUCAAACUUUCUUAUGGUUUUCUCAACAUAGUGUUCUUAAGAAAGUUUAAGCCCAUUAGGUAUUUUAGUUAUCUUGAUCACUAGAAUCAUCUCUACCUCUUUUAGGUCUUUCAUGUCAAAGUUACUCUACCUCUUUAGGUCUUUCAUGUCAAAGUUAGAUCCUAGGAAUUUCAGUCUCCUAGACAACCUCUAAGUUAGUUCCAAAAACAUGACAUCUAUACAUAAACAAAUGAGAACACGUGUGUUAUCUCAAGUUUUCUUUAGUUGCAUUUAUCAACAUCAUUAAUGGAAAAUCUAUUUCUUAGAAAAAAAUUUUGGUUGAGGGCUUAAAGAUGUUUGAUGUCGAACCAAAAAGCUUUUGGAGAUUUGAUUUCACAUUUUGACCUACCUUUAGCCUAAUUUUACACUUAAUUUAACUUUCCUUAUUGAGCUUGACUUGCUUUGACUUAUAAUUUUUGGAGGUUGCAACCAAGGAUUAAGCUUUGGCUUAACUUAAGUUUUGGAGCUUUGUAAACCUAACUUGAAUUUUGACUUGGUUGAAGCUUUGGCUUGACUUAGAUCUUAACGACUUGUCUUGAACCUUGAAUACUUAAGUGUGGACUUGAUUUUGGUCUUGUCUUGAUUUGGAAUCAUUGACUUCGAUCUAUCUCGAGCCUUGACUUGAACAUGCCAAUUAAGGGUUUAUGUAGCUUGAUGGCUUAAGCAAGUUGAUCUUCAAUCACUCUGCUACUAUGGAUUUGGCAAUGCCAGGGUAUUCGCCUACUUACAGAUCCUAUCCAUCAACAGAUAAUGUAGGGAGUGCCCCAACAUCAUGGCUCCUUUAUGAAAUAGCUAUGUGCUUUUAUGGAAUCCUAAAGCUAGCUCCUUAUACAUCUGUGCAUAUUCUUCCUUAGGGUCUUCAUCAUGAAGCCAUUCCACACAUGCAACUAGAUGUUUUAGCAUUCUCAAAGGUAAGAGAUUAAUAGUAGAUCCUUCAUCUAUCAUAAUUCUUGUUAUCUCCAAUCUAUUAUAUAUACACAUGGAUAGAUAGAUCAAUUAAUCAAAGCUCGAUUUCAAGUCUGUUUAGCAUUGUAAUACAUACCUAUGCCAAAUUCACUCUUAAUCUUCAACACCUUCCCAUGUCCAUCCAAAGCAGAAGACAAAAGAAAACCCCCAAAAGAACUUAGAAAAAAAAAAAAAUGCCCAUGGCCUAGGGUUCACAUGUCACUACUCUGUGAGGUCCCCAAGAUCAAGACAAAAUGUUAAUAAUAUUAAACUACUCACCCAAAGUGAUAUCAAUUUUUGAAACCACCAACAAUACUAUGUGUACACCCGUGAAUCCCAAAUAAUGCCAUAUUUGCCAGCUUUGGAGUCAGGAGGCUUCACAAUUCUUGUGGCCACAAGAGCGAGAACCCCCUGUUCAAUGGCUUUGUCCCAAAAAGUUGCCAAAUUAACAAAGCGCCACUUCACUUCACGGAUUUUAUGUCUUGAUAUCCACAUAUUUUACUUGCAAGCCACUCACAAGUCCUUCUGGACAAUGAUGAUGUCCGACAACUGAUAGUAAUUAAACUGAUUGUAGGGCCCCCCACACUCGAUCACCCUCUAUAUAAGCCCCUUAAAACCACAACCAUCCCACACUGCAAAACAAACAGAGUUGAAGAAGAGUGCAGGAGGAAGAUGGAAGCAUACAAAAGAUUUGUGAUAUUGGCGCUGGUCCUGGUUGUAGCGGUGGUGGCAAAUGGGCAGGGCAGCAUAUGCCGCAUGACCCAAGAUGGGUUGACAGCCUGCAAGCCAUCCGUGAGUGGGCAGAGCCCACUCCCGCCUUCGCCCGCUUGCUGUGCGGCCAUUUCCAAGGCAGACUUGCCAUGUCUCUGCUCCUUCAAGAACUCCGCGCUCUUGCCCUACCUGGGAAUAGACCCGAACAUGGCCACGCAGCUCCCGGCCAAGUGCAAUAUCGUCACCUCAACCCACUGCUGAAACCUUGCAUGAAUGAAUAAUUUGUUCGUGGAAUUAUCAUUUGACUUUGUGUUUAGGAUGCUGUUUUUCUUCUUGUACGUUCUGUGUUGUUUUUACUUUGCGUUUGUUGCAUGUGUGCCCUACGUUUUGUAUUACCGUGUAAUAUUACAAGUCCGGUGACUUCACAAAUGUUACUGCUUGGUUUCUUAGUAAUAUUGCUUUUUAAUUUCCAAACUGUUGGAUUAUGAAACUUGAAUUAGUUUUGUUGUGCUCGGGAUAUUGGAGAUCGAACUCCUUACUAAGCUCAUAGGGAUUGAGCUCCCUACUAAGCUCACAGGUAUGGAGCUCUCCAAUGAACUCGUGGGUAUUGAGCCACCCGAUCAACUCGCGAUGGUUGAAGGAGGGAGCCCCCUUGAAGAAAUUUUUUUUAAUGUAAUAAAAAAACAAGUUUAUCUUUAUUAUAUAUUUAACCCUUUUAUAUUUUAAAUUUUAUUUUUUUAGAAAGCAUGACUACGAUUAAGAGAUGUUUUUAUUUUUAUUUUUUUG